AUUGCACAGAGAGAGAGAGGGACAGAAAAGGAGGGGAUGGGGGAUUUGAUGGAUGGUCACAGAGAGAGAUUGGGUGUGGGAUGUGAGGGGAGAUUACAGAGAGAUAAAUAAAAGGGAGGGAUCGGGGGAUUUGAGGGAUGGUCAGAGAGAAAUAGUGAGGGAGAGGAUGGGGGGCUGAUUUUCGGUUCCUCCUUCCAGAUUUGUUCCGUAAAACCUGUUGGGUACAAUUCAAUUUCCUCCCCCUUUCCCCUGAACGAAAAAUUCGAAACCUACAACUCAAAACUCACUCAUUUGACCCCCCUCCUUGGCUUUCCACCUUACUCAUCUCCUGGUGGUUCUUUCUCUCCAUACGAUUCGAUUUCGUUGAGUUCUUCGUUGCCCUCAUGAUUUCCCAAUUUGAUUUUUUGGGCGUCCUUAGUCGUCGUUUUUAUCUGGGUUUACUGCAUUGUUGCUUUUAGUUUCUGGAUUUUUAUUUUUUUUGGCGGUUUGAUGAAUCGUGGUUAAUAAUUUCACACCAUGGGAUUUUCGCACUUCUGAUGGAAUUGAGCGAGGGGAUUCGAGGUGGGGUUUUACUGAUAAUUUGUCUUCAUUCAAAUGAAUGGUUAAAAUUUAUGAGUAUUAACAAAUUUUGUAAAUUAUUCUUAUGCAUUUUAUUGAGGGAUAUGGGGAUCUAAUCGAUUUCUCUCUGUAGUGGGAUUGAAAUUGGGACUUUGUGGUACUCUCUCUCGCUCUUCCUCUCUCAUAUGUGUAUGAAGUGAGUUCUGAAUUGAGUUCUUUCAAGGGAACCCAUCAACGGUUUGCUUGCUGGGGGAAUUCGGAGACUACCAGUCAUGAUCUUCCACUGCAGCAUCCAAAUUUUGCAUUUGUAAAUUGUCAAAGAAAAACGAAGUAUGAGGAAAUUAUAGGAGAUUGUGUCGGCUUUGGCCAUGAAGGGUAUCAGCAGUUUACCGCCCCCCCCCCAACACAGCUUCUCCAUAAAUGGGGGUAAGGCUAGCCGACAUUCACCUCUCCCAGACCCUGCGUAAAGCGUGAGCCUUGUGCACUGGGUACGACCUUGUGUAUUGGGUAUUGUGUAGAACCAGCAAUGCAAGAGCAGGAUCUGAUCAGUCACGCCCGAAAAGGGGUUUGUUUCUCAAAUCACAUUCAUUAGUUAGAUUAUUAAUGUGCGUUGGAAGGCUCUUCAAUAUGAUUUUGUAAUUUCUCAUUUCCGGCAUUCUCUUUUUGGUUUUUGGAGUAUGUAUGUGAUUUGUACUUGAUUAUAGAAUAAAAAUUAAUAAAACACGAGAUGCAGCAAUUAAUUUGCAUCCUUAUGACAACACAUAUAUGAAAGUGCAUUCAAAUUCAA